CUGGCUACACGGGCAGAUACUGCCAAGUGAGGUGCAGCCUGCAGUGUGUGCACGGCCGGUUCCGGGAGGAGGAGUGCUCGUGCGUCUGUGACAUCGGCUACGGGGGAGCCCAGUGUGCCACCAAGGUGCAUUUUCCCUUCCACACCUGUGACCUGAGGAUCGACGGAGACUGCUUCAUGGUGUCUUCAGAGGCAGACACCUAUUACAGAGCCAGGAUGAAAUGUCAGGUGACAGUCACCCCUAGCUUCCUAGGAACCCCCUAGGGCCUCAAGUGAGGGUCUUAAUGCAGGGACCCUGGAGUGAGAGGUGGUUCCUUCAACGUCUCUGACCUCACCCUAUUCAUCAGCAUAAAGCAGGGGUCGUGGACUCCAAGGCUCAUAGAAGCCAGGAGGUCACUUAUUGACCUGAGGGGCCAAGGUCAAGACCAACCUCCAUCUAAGGGAGUUCCAGCCACUGGUUGCCUUGCAGGAAUGCAAGGUCAGGGUGGCCAGAGCUCGGGGUUGUUCAAGAAAACCAGCAACCCAGACUUCCACUGGCAACUCU
rnacentral:lncRNA from 1 species